rnacentral:rRNA from 1 species
AAAGAAAGCGUAAUAGCUCACUGGUCGAGUCGGCCUGCGCGGAAGAUGUAACGGGGCUAAACCAUGCACCGAAGCUGCGGCAGCGACGCUGAUGCGUUGUUGGGUAGGGGAGCGUUCUGUAAGCCUGCGAAGGUGUGCUGUGAGGCAUGCUGGAGGUAUCAGAAGUGCGAAUGCUGACAUAAGUAACGAUAAAGCGGGUGAAAAGCCCGCUCGCCGGAAGACCAAGGGUUCCUGUCCAACGUUAAUCGGGGCAGGGUGAGUCGACCCCUAAGG